rnacentral:rRNA from 1 species
AUGGAGGCCGGGAACGACGGCCCGUCGACCCCGGUGCUGCUCAACGUGUACGACCUCACGCCCGUCAACGAUUACCUCUACUGGCUCGGCUUCGGCGUCUUCCACUCCGGAAUCGAAGUUCAUGGCAUGGAAUAUGGAUUUGGAGCACAUGAUUUCUCAUCCAGCGGUGUAUUUGAGGUGGAAUCGAAAUGUUGCCCUGGAUUUGUCUAUAGAAAGACGGUGUCGCUAGGCACAACUGACAUGUCUCGGGAAGAUUUCCGCUCGUUCAUUGAAAGACUUGCAGGGAAGUAUCAUGGCAAUACAUAUAAUUUGAUUGCGAAGAACUGCAAUCAUUUCACAGAUGAUGUCUGUAGGAGCUUGACUGGAAAACCCAUCCCUGGCUGGGUGAAUAGGUUGGCCAGAGUAGGCUCAGUUUUUGACUGUCUACUACCAGAAAGUGUCCAAGUUUCUCCUGUUGGACGUGUCCCAACUCUUCGUCCAGUUAUUGAUGAUGAUUUGGAUUCGGUAUCUUCUUCGGACAGCGAUGAGGGUGAUGACAAGCACCUGUUGGAAGCACCAUCCACUGACUUGCAACCUGUAGAAGUGCCAUUAAAGCUAGCCAAAGAUCUUCUUUGA